rnacentral:tRNA from 1 species
GCGGAUGUGGCGAAAUUGGUAGACGCGUCAGACUUAGGAUCUGGUGCCGCAAGGCGUGGGGGUUCGAGUCCCUUCAUCCGCA